AGCUGAUAGUAUGUUUAACAUUACCAAGAAUUUUAAAUUAGGCUUUGGAUCAUUUAUUGAUAAAGUAGUUAUGCCAUAUGCUUCAAUGGUACCAGCUCGAUUGAAAAAUCCUUGUGGAGAAGACUUUUCUUGCAGUUCACCAUAUGGUUUUCGUAAUCAUCUCUCAUUAACAAAUGAUGUUCGUGAAUUUAUUACUGAAGUAUCAAAUGCAUCAUUAUCAGCAAAUUUAGAUAAUGCUGAAGGUGGUUUUGAUGCAAUUAUGCAAGUUGUAGUUUGCAAGGUAAUGUAUUAAUUAUUUAGUAAACAAUAUUUUGAAUUAUAGUUAUAUUCUAAUGUAAAUUUAUAAAUGUUUAAAUUAACUUUCUCUAAGAUGUUACGAUUAGAGCCAUACAUAACUGUGUACUUGAACAUGAUAUGCAUAAACAAAUUUAUUGUAUAUGUAUAUAUGGCUGCCAUAUUGCCACCACAUGGCACAAGUAUACUUGAACACUGCCAAUUUGAAUCAUGUCAUCAACAGAUGAAGACAAUGCUCUUGCUUUAGUUUCUUUGGUUUCAAUUUUAAAGAAAAAAAAUCAAUGGAAAUAUUGUAGUUUGUAGUGUAAAAACUAAAAUAAUAUUAUUCCUUAAAGCUGGAACUAUCAAUACUAUACAAUUGAUGAAAAACUGACAUUUCAUACAUUUCCAGCAAUGCUAUUGAUGUAAACAAAAAGCAAACAUUUUCAACCUCAUUAAGGGCCAGCAUUAGGCUUGUAUAGAAGAUUCUCCUUACUUUUUUUUAUUUUUUUUUUCACCAAACUUUUGGAAUUUCAAACAAUUUUGAAAAAAUUUAAAGUUCUGGAACAAGUUUUAUUUAACCAACCAAAGCAUCCAAUUUCUAUCUUUAAGUCAUCAACCAGUGUCACUAAUGUCAAAAGUUUUUGACAACAUUAACCCAAAAUAAUUUCACAGAACACACAAAUUAUAGUACACAAAUAAUAAAAUAUUUUCUAAUGUAGAUACAGCAGCGUAAAUCUGUUCUUAAAAUGUAUCUUCAAAUAAAGAAUUGUCUAUAAGUGAUUUCCAAGUAUUGGAAAGCAUUUCGACGACUGUACUAUAUAUAGAUAUUCCUCUCUGUGAGUUCUUAUGUAUCUCCCAUGUCUCCAGUAUUCUCAGUUUUAUCAUUAUCAGUUCAGACACCAAUUAAGUGAUAAGAAAAACUAUGAAUAUUAUGUGAAGUGAAAUCUUUAUUAUGAUGCCUGAUAGCAAGUCAUAUAUUAAUGUUCAAUUCAAUCAUACAACUAAAAAAAUAAUUAGUUAUAGCAGCAAGAAUGAGAAUUAAUUGUAAGGACAAGAAAGAGAAUAAAAUGAGAAGGAAAGUAAAGUCAAAGAUGUUGCUACUCAUGUGUAAACUUUUGAGCAAUAAUUUGGUUUGUGUAUAAGUUUGUUGUCCAAACAACAAAACCUAUCAUCAUUAUACAGUGAGUCAAAACUCCCUUGCACCCUUUUCAUUCCAAAAGUAUAGAAGAUAUAUUAAUUUGUUAAUGUAGUUGUUAUGUAUGUAACCUCCAGGGGAUAACCCACACCGAAUUGCCCCUUGACCUAGUUAGGUGACCCCAUACCUCUGACCUUUGUCAUGUUUCUUUGUCUCAAGUCAGUCGUGCGUUAGCUGUUGUAAUACUUAGACCUGAGGCACAACGUUACAUUUGUAUUACCACAACAUUACAUUUCUAUUAUAAUAAAGUUAAUUAUAUAUGUUAACAAGUAAUCAUUUAUUUUACGGACACCACAAUUGGCAACGAUAAGAUACAACAAGGAUAAAAUUGGCAACAAAUUGGCAAUAAGGGUAAAAUUGGCAACAAGGACAAAAAGGAUAUAAAAAUGAAUGAACUUGCAGAAUUAAUUUCAACGCUAAAUGUGUUCAUCAAGAAACUACAGAGUCAGUCAGUGGAGACAAAACCAGAACUAUUUGUUCAACGAGUUCUCCAAAUGCAAGCCCUAACCUUUGAAACUUACAACAAAAUGUCCGAGACCUUUAAAAACUAUUCCCAACAACUGGAUAACUUUUUCAAAAUCAAAGGACUAACCGGAACAGAUGCCAUUACUGAAGAAGCUGAGGUAAUGAUAUUUAUCAAUUGUCUUGGACCAAAACAUUACCAGCUACUGAUCAAUCUGACAGCACCAGAAAUACCCUCUAGGUGAACCUUUGCUGAAUUAAUGAAGUUGCUACAAAAUCACUAAUAUCAAAAAGAAAUAUCCUAACAGAACAGCAUAAAUUUUUGUCCAGAGUACAACAUAAUGGUGAGUCCAUUUCAAAUUACGUGACUUCAUUAAAACAACUCUCGAAAAUUUUAGAUUUCAAGUCUAGUUGUAACAAUGCGAUGAAGGCUCUGAAAGACAUUACAAAAGAAGCAUACCAGGACUGUUUCAACAAGUGGAAACACCGUUGGGAUAAGUGUGUGUGUUGGGAAGGAGAGUACUUUGAAGGGGACCCAGACAUGUAACUUCUACAUAAAGUACAUUUUGUUUUAUGACGUCAGUCCACGUAUUUUUUGAACAGAUCUCAUAUUGCCACAAAGUUACAUUUCUAUUGUAAUAAAGUUAAUUAUAUAUGUUAACAAGUAAUCGUUUAUUUUACAGACACAACAGUAGUUACAUAUGCAUGCAUGGAGAAUUGAAUGUGACAAAAUAAUUUUUAAGGUUACAUAUAUUGUAAGUUAUUAAUGAACAGAGACAACAUAAAAGUUACAAUGACAAAGAUAGAGCAUAAAUUCAACUACUCAAAACUGGGAAAUGUUAAUAAACACUGCACAUAUAACCAAUAUCCAGCAAGAAGAAAUUACAAGAAAGAAAACAUUUUCAACUAUGUUUAAAGGGCAUCAUCAGGCUAACAGACCUUCAUAGUUUGAAUGUAGCUGUUGAAAAAAACAGCUUGAAUCAAAAAGUUACUAUGAAUAGGUGAUUGCUCUGUGAGAAUCAUGCGAGUAUACAUUGGUCCGUUAAAGGCAGUACAUGGAUAAAUAACAACAAUUAUUUAUUUACCAUCACAUGAAUGGUAGUAUACAGGAUUCUUUUACGGAUUCCAACUCUGAGUGUUACAGAAUAUCCAAAAAUAGGUGCAAGGAAUCAAGUAAAUACAAAGUAAAGGAACCCGCUCACGACAAUUAAGAAAAGACAGAUGUAUAAUCUUGAGAAAUAUAAGAAAAGACAGAUGUACAAUGAAUACUUAUACUAAAUUAUAAACUUAAAAGAGUAAGGUAGAAUAUCAGAAAGUUUAGUAUGAUAGAAGAAGAGGUUAUACAGAAUACCCGGGUUUUCUUGUUGGUAUUGAUGCUCUUCUGGUAGGGAACCACUAUAAAUCAUUUCCCGAUGAUCUUUAAUUGGAUCUCUUCAAUUAUCCUCCUUAAACAAGGGACGUUCGUCUAUCUCUCCUUUGUUGACAGGGUCUUUUCUCCUUUGCAGGCCACUUUCAUCUCCAUUUGUCCUUCUAGAUGGCAAGCAGGAGCGUAACUUUCACACGUCUGCCUUCACUGAGAGUCUGACCCAAGAAUGACCCUCUUUAUCCAUUAUAAUAAUCUCGGGGCUCACACUUCCCAUUGUUACUGUGGUUCUUAGAAAGGGUUACCCCACCCGAGGAAGGAAUGUUAGUUGAAAAUUCGAGAAAACAAAAAGGGAAACAAAGAAGAAAGAAAAUUUAAAACUAAACUUAUAUCAAAACAUAUACAGUAAUAUGGCAUAUUGCCACAGCUGUCCACAUGUUAAAAAAGGGGUGACAUGAGAGAGGGAAGAUGAUUAUAAGUGUAAUUUCCUUAGCUUGAGAGCAGUAAGAUGGAAAUUAUAUAUAUAAGAUAACAAACUGAUCCCACUUUAAUAAGGUGAUGUGGACCCAACAAAAUAUCUAAACCAUAACAGACUGAUCACUCUCAAUAAUGGGAUAUAAAUACUGACAUUAUUAUUUUCCACUCUUGGCCCUAAUUUACACUUAAAGAACUCAGUGAAAGCACCUUAGUUCAUUCAGUCUUUUCUCUCCUCCUCUCUUUAUUCAUUAUCAGGAAUUCUGAGAUACUGUUCUUACAAGAGUCUGGUCCUUUCCAUAUAUAUAUAUUGGGUAUACAUAUGUUGAAUAGUUUAUCCUCACUCAGAAUAACAAGUCCUUUGUUCUUGUACAUGAUCACCUUCUUUUUUUCAAUGAUCUCUUCUGCCUUCUCAGUGGUUACUUCAGAUGAGACAAAGCCCAUCAAGGGAAAAGAUGUUAUCACAUCAGCUCUCUCAUUCUUAUACCUUCCUAUCUAUCAUCAUCUCAUCUCCACCAAUCAGGGCAUAUCACAAAGAUGACCUGGUUGAUCCUAUUCAGAUGUGCAUCUGACAAACAAAAACCAUUACAGUAUUGCCUCUGGCAUUAAGCUGUAAUGAGGCAUUGCAAUGGCCAAGGGUGAGAACAAAAGAAUAUACAGUACUUCCAAAUAUGGAACAGAAGUACUAUACAAGAUUAAACUUUAUACAUUGACUUCCAUGCAGGGGGGAAGAGUCUAUAUCUAUAAAGUUGUUAGCUGCAUUUUUUCUUGUGGCUUUGUAAAUUUCUAAUUGUUCUGAAUAGCUAAGCUGUUUUUAGUGGGAGAAGCUAUGUAAGAGGCAUGCUCAGUCAAAUGAUGGUUUUUAUACAAAAUUAAAUUUUAUGAUAUCCCAUAGAAUUUAAUCUAUA